rfam:Salmonella enterica subsp. enterica serovar Typhimurium str. LT2 plasmid pSLT, complete sequence.
AUAGCCUGAUUGGUGGCUAUACAGUUUAAGUAGGCCCCGUUAAUCUUUCGUUCCCGCCAAGAAAUGAGAAGAUUAUCGGGGUUUUUGCUU